rnacentral:rRNA from 1 species
CCUACGGGUGGCUGCAGUGGGGAAUAUUGGACAAUGGGCGAAAGCCUGAUCCAGCCAUGCCGCGUGUGUGAAGAAGGCCUUCGGGUUGUAAAGCACUUUCAGUGGGGAAGAAAGCCUUGGGGCUAAUACCCUCGAGGAAGGACAUCACCCACAGAAGAAGCACCGGCUAACUCCGUGCCAGCAGCCGCGGUAAUACGGAGGGUGCGAGCGUUAAUCGGAAUUACUGGGCGUAAAGCGCGCGUAGGCGGUCUGAUAAGCCGGUUGUGAAAGCCCCGGGCUCAACCUGGGAACGGCAUCCGGAACUGUCAGGCUAGAGUGCAGGAGAGGAAGGUAGAAUUCCCGGUGUAGCGGUGAAAUGCGUAGAGAUCGGGAGGAAUACCAGUGGCGAAGGCGGCCUUCUGGACUGACACUGACGCUGAGGUGCGAAAGCGUGGGUAGCAAACAGGAUUAGAUCCCCGUGUAGUC